rnacentral:rRNA from 1 species
AGCAGCCGCGGUAAUUCCAGCUCCAAUAGCGUAUAUUAAAGUUGUUGCAGUUAAAAAGCUCGUAGUUGAAUUUCGGGAUCAAUGUUUCGGUCAUGCCCUUGGUAUGUACUGAUAUUAUUGGUUUCUCACCUUCUAAAGAACCGUAAUGCCAUUAAUGUGGUGUCACGGGGAAUUAGGACUGUUACCUUGAAAAAAUUAGAGUGUUUAAAGCAGGCUCACGCUUGAAUACAUUAGCAUGGAAUAAUGAAAUAGGACAUCCGAUUCUAUUUUGUUGGUUUCUAGGAUCGAUGUAAUGAUUAAUAGGGAUAGUUGGGGGCAUUAGUAUUCAAUUGUCAGAGGUGAAAUUCUUGGAUUUAUUGAAGACUAACUACUGCGAAAGCAUUUGCCAAGGAUGUUUUCAUUAAUCAAGAACGAAAGUUAGGGGAUCGAAGACGAUCAGAUACCGUCGUAGUCUUAACCAUAAACUAUGCCGACUAGGGAUCGGAUGAUGUUAAUUUUUUAAUGACUCA